UAAACCCUACUGGGCCCGUGACCUUCAAUGAAGUUCCGAACCAACACCGAUACAUUGGGAGCCCGGCUCUGGGUAUGGCUCGCAGGCCCCCCUGGAGGGGAAGCGAAAAGUAUCCAGGAGGGCACCCCCCUGUUUUGCGCAGGGUUCGGGGGACUUCAUAGGGGUGACGGCUACGGUGGGGUUUUC
rnacentral:other from 1 species